AACGAACGCUGGCGGCAUGCCUAACACAUGCAAGUCGAACGAUGGUCUUCGGAUCAUAGUGGCGCACGGGUGCGUAACGCGUGGGAAUCUGCCCUUGGGUUCGGAAUAACAGUUGGAAACGACUGCUAAUACCGGAUGAUGUCGAUAAGACCAAAGAUUUAUCGCCCGAGGAUGAGCCCGCGUCGGAUUAGCUAGUUGGUGGGGUAAAGGCCUACCAAGGCGACGAUCCGUAGCCGGUCUGAGAGGAUGAUCAGCCACACUGGGACUGAGACACGGCCCAGACUCCUACGGGAGGCAGCAGUGGGGAAUAUUGGACAAUGGGCGCAAGCCUGAUCCAGCAAUGCCGCGUGAGUGAUGAAGGCCUUAGGGUUGUAAAGCUCUUUUACCCGGGAAGAUAAUGACUGUACCGGGAGAAUAAGCCCCGGCUAACUCCGUG
rnacentral:rRNA from 1 species